UACGUAGGGUGCGAGCGUUAAUCGGAAUUACUGGGCGUAAAGCGUGCGCAGGCGGUUUGCUAAGACCGAUGUGAAAUCCCCGGGCUCAACCUGGGAACUGCAUUGGUGACUGGCAGGCUAGAGUAUGGCAGAGGGGGGUAGAAUUCCACGUGUAGCAGUGAAAUGCGUAGAGAUGUGGAGGAAUACCGAUGGCGAAGGCAGCCCCCUGGGCUAUAACUGACGCUCAUGCACGAAAGCGUGGGGAGCAAACAGG
rnacentral:rRNA from 1 species